UAUUCUCCUCCUCUCCCCCUCUCCCCUUCUCUGGUCUCUCUUUCUCGUUCUCACUCGCCUUGGAUCCAAUAUAUCUCAUUCCCCCUCACCUUUACAAUGAAGAGAAGAGAUUACUUCAUCACCAUUUCCUCUAUCACCACAAAUCAAUCGCAGAGAGAAAAAACCUCUUUCUCCUUUAACUGAGCUCAGAAAAAAAACCGAAACUUACCAAAAAUAAACCCUAAAGUUCCCAAAAUUAAUAACAUAUCUGCUAACCCCAUAAAUCAAUUUUUUCUUAUCUCUCAAAUCCAUCUACUAUCUCACAUAACAAUUAACAGAUCAAUCGAUCUACUCCAUCAAUUUGAUGAUUCAUGUUCUGCUUUGGAAUUAUCUAGAUCCGUACAGUUCUCAGAGAAAAAAAGAUUUGUGAUGAUAAGGGAAGGUGCUUCUUACACAGCAACCAUAGGGUUUCGUUUUCUUCUUCAAUCAACUAUUGGAUGAAUCAUCUUCAUCUAACUAUACUUGAUUUCUUCUACUUCGAUGGUUUCUGUCAAAAGAAAAGGAAACAAUGUUGCUCUACUGUUGUUUGAUAAAAUGUCUUAAUGAACUAAAUGUCAUGUGCCUUGAAUUUGAUUUUAGUUUUGCAUUUUAAAUAUGUUUUGAUCAGUUUUUUUUAUUUAUUUAAGGUUUUUGAGUAAUGGGUCUUCAUAUUAAUGGUUCAUAUCUGCCAUUUUUGAUGCAUUUUGUUUUUUUAAUGCACAGUUCAUGGUGAUAUCCCUCCUCUUACUGUUGUUGCCUUGUGCUUAAGAUAUAUUCAAUUGAUAAGUUGAGGUCAGUGAAGAGGUUGAGUGAUCUGUUGCAAAAGAUGGGCCCUGCCAGCUUGGUCGGAAGGUGUAAAUUUGUAUGAUAUUUUUGUCCUUCAAAAAUCCAUUAGGUACAGGUGUAAUUUAGCAAACUAUGACUGACUUAGUGAUUUCAAGGUGUGCAUUAUACGCCUAAGGUAUACAUAUCUAACCACUGAUUGUUUGCACGUCUUCUCCUAAACGAAUUGAAGAUCCUGAUAGGGGAAAAUCGCGGGUUGAUUUAGGUUUAGGUUGGUCCUCCCCCUUCUUACUUGUGGGAAAGUAGAGGGAGACAAAAAUGCUUCUUUUUAUUUUCCAAGAGCACUUUCAUAUGUGAAACAUGACUAUUAGUGGAGAAAGGAUGUUGUUGCACUUUUAUAUCGAAUGCUUUUGGAUUAUAUUAGCUUUUAGAAAAAAAAUGUUGCCAUGGUAAAUUGACUCUGUGUUAUAGAGAAUGAAUCGUCACUUUAAAACUUCGGUGUUCAAUAUUACAUUCAAUUGAUAAUCUACUAAUUUUUAUAUAGGUGUGUUUUUGAAUCCUUUACUAGAUUUUGUUUCAUGUAUUGUCCCAACUCUCUAAGGAUGCCUUUGUAUUCUUAACAGAAAUAGCCGUAGCUUUAGUUAUAUAAUCUAAGAUAAAAAUAUAUAUUUAUCUUUGAACUUGUCUGUUCUUUCCUCCAAGUAUUAUGAUGCUCUACGAUUUUCUUUGUUCGUUUUUACUUUGAUGUUAUAGUUAUGAUAUUUUACGGCCUGAUUCAAUUUCAGAAGGUUGUGUCGGAUAGACAGAAACUCAACAGGUUUUGAAUAAAUAUAGGCAAUGAUGACACCCUUUAAAUAGUUUUAUUCCUUAAGUAAGUCAAUAUUACAUUAAAACUUAAAAACGAAUGAUCCUUUUUGUUAGUUGACCGAACUAUGUUUAGAUCAGCUUGCUCUGGAGUUUGGAUGAUAUUGUCUACAAUCUCAGGAUUUAAGGAGAUGUAAUAUACAUCCACACUGAUUUGCUGACAUCUUAAACAUAUUUGUAUUCAAGAUUUAUAAACGAACAAGUGGAAGGUGUGCUUAUUUUGUUAAAAAAUUGUUGCAGAGAUUCGUUCGAAUGAAGGAAUAGGUGCUACAGGGACUAGUGGAUGUACAUUUGGUAUAUCACUAUAUAAGAUUAUGGAUGAGCUGUGAUGGAUGCAUUGAUGUGCCAAUGCUCAUGCAAGUUCCAGCAUCAUUGAAAAAAAUGAUAGUUAUACAUAAUAAUCGUGUGUGUAAUUAAAGUCCAAGGUAAGGCAUUACUUACACAUUUUGUUUGUUAUGAAGUAAAUUAACAACCGAUGUGACCAGGCUUCAUCUUUCAAGGUAAAUGGGUUUUAAGUCUAUUAUUACUGCAUCCUAAGAUUUAUUACUUGUUUAAUAGUUAUUUGUUUGAGGAAACAACCCAACGCUGCAUAGUCAUAAAUACAAUAGUACGAGCUUUACCCAGUUUGUUGUAUAUACAUACUUGCAACAAUUGUUUUAUCACCUUUACUUGUUUAAAACAUGUUAACAAUUGAGAACACAUCUUAAUGAUUCUGUAUACAGUCUGAAGUUUUCUUUUUAAUGUAGUAUUGUUUUUAUUACAUAUAUUGAUCCAUGCAUAUCAUGCUCCGAAGUACAUUUGAUUCGGUUUGGUUUAGUAGUGCAUCUGAGUACAAGUGAUAAAAUGAAUAAUAUGGAAGUAGACAACCACCUGAUGAACACAACAUCGAAAUCUUACUUUAAAGUUUAGACUGCAUUCACAAUCGACCGAUUUAUAUAUAUUCAAAUCUGAUGUAUGAUUUAAUUUUUAUUUGUUGAUCAGGCCAGGGUUAGUUUGUAUGCAAGUUCGGUUGUGCGUUGUUCCUCGAAGGUUCUCUGGGCAACCUGAAGAUGUGCAAUUCCAAAUGAAAGUUGCGAAGAAUAAGGCAAGUAAAAGUUCCAGAUCCUGUUUACCUAUUCAUUCCACUUGAAUACGUACAAACCUGUGUAAAUCCAAUUAUAAAGAUAAAC